UCGAUGUCGGCUCAUCACAUCCUGGGGCUGAAGCCGGUCCCAAGGGUAUGGCUGUUCGCCAUUUAAAGUGGUACGCGAGCUGGGUUUAGAACGUCGUGAGACAGUUCGGUCCCUAUCUGCCGUGGACGUUUGAGAUUUGAGAGGGGCUGCUCCUAGUACGAGAGGACCGGAGUGGACGAACCUCUGGUGUUCCGGUUGUCACGCCAGUGGCAUUGCCGGGUAGCUAUGUUCGGAAUAGAUAACCGCUGAAAGCAUCUAAGCGGGAAACUAGCCUCAAGAUGAGAUCUCACUGGAACCU
rnacentral:rRNA from 1 species